UACAGAGGGUGCGAGCGUUAAUCGGAAUUACUGGGCGUAAAGCGCACGUAGGCGGCUUUGUAAGUUAGAGGUGAAAGCCCGGGGCUCAACUCCGGAAUUGCCUUUAAGACUGCAUCGCUAGAAUUGUGGAGAGGUAAGUGGAAUUCCGAGUGUAGAGGUGAAAUUCGUAGAUAUUCGGAAGAACACCAGUGGCGAAGGCGACUUACUGGACACAUAUU
rnacentral:rRNA from 1 species